rnacentral:sRNA from 1 species
GUACCUGCAAAAGCGGGUGCCGGGUUUGACAGCCUGAACCACGAAGCGGACAGCCGCUCAUUUUUUAAUGCGGUUUUUUU